rnacentral:tRNA from 1 species
GGCUCAGUGGUCUAGGGGUAUGAUUCCUGCUUUGGGUGCAGGAGGUCACAGGUUCAAAUCCCGCCUGAGCCC